GAGUUUGAUCAUGGCUCAGAUUGAACGCUGGCGGCAUGCCUUACACAUGCAAGUCGAACGGUAACGCGGGGCAACCUGGCGACGAGUGGCGAACGGGUGAGUAAUGCAUCGGAACGUGCCUGGUAGUGGGGGAUAACUGCUCGAAAGAGCAGCUAAUACCGCAUACGACCUGAGGGUGAAAGGGGGGAUCGCAAGACCUCUCGCUAUCAGAGCGGCCGAUGUCGGAUUAGCUAGUUGGUGGGGUAAAGGCCCACCAAGGCAACGAUCCGUAGCUGGUCUGAGAGGACGACCAGCCACACUGGGACUGAGACACGGCCCAGACUCCUACGGGAGGCAGCAGUGGGGAAUUUUGGACAAUGGACGCAAGUCUGAUCCAGCCAUGCCGCGUGCGGGAAGAAGGCC
rnacentral:rRNA from 1 species